GCAGGUGUGGCUCAAUGUAGAGCAUUGGACCCAUGCACCAAAGGGUCACGGGUCCAAUUCCCGGUCAAGGGCA
rnacentral:tRNA from 1 species